CACAUUCAAAGAGUGCGUAAUAGCUCACUAGUCGAGAGGUCCUGCGCCGAAAAUUUCCGGGGCUAAAACACGAUACCGAAGCUUAGGAAUGUAGCAAUACAUUGGUAGAGGAGCAAUCUCAGAGUGCCGAAGCGUUACCGUAAGGAAGCGUGGAGUUCUGAGAAGAGAGAAUGCCGGAAUGAGUAGCGAGAAUGAUGUGAGAAUCAUCAUGGCCGAAUAUCCAAGGAUUCCAGGGUAAAGCUGAUCUGCCCUGGGUAAGUCGGGACCUAAGGCGAGGGAGAAAUCCGUAGUCGAUGGACAGCAGGUUCAUAUUCCUGCACCUGACAUGAUCAGAACUGUGGGGACACAGGAACAAAACCGGACCCGGGAGAGCAAAGACCGGGCGAAGCGAAGUUAGGAGUGCGGUAGGCAAAUCCGCCGCACAAUCCGAAAGCGUGAUAGGGAGCGAAAAAUAAGUAGCGAAGCCGGUGGAGGGACUGUCGAGAAAAGCCGCUAUUGUAUCAUGUCAGCCCGUACCGCAAACCGACACAGGUGGAUGAGGAGAGAAUCCUAAGGCCGGCGGGAGAAGCAUUGUUAAGGAACUCGGCAAAAUGACCCCGUAACUUCGGGAGAAGGGGUGCUGCAGAGAUGCAGCCGCAGAGAAAAGGCUCAAGCAACUGUUUAGCAAAAACACAGGUCUAUGCGAAACCGUAAGGUGAGGUAUAUGGGCUGACGCCUGCCCGGUGCUGGAAGGUUAAGAGGAGAGGUUAGCGCAAGCGAAGCUUUGAAUUUAAGCCCCAGUAAACGGCGGCCGUAACUAUAACGGUCCUAAGGUAGCGAAAUUCCUUGUCGGGUAAGUUCCGACCCGCACGAAAGGCGUAAUGAUUUGAGCGCUGUCUCAACAAUGCACCCGGUGAAAUUGAAGUACCAGUGAAGAUGCUGGUGACCUGCGCCAGGACGGAAAGACCCCAUGGAGCUUUACUCCAGCUUGAUACCGGGAUUCGGUGUUACUCGUACAGGAUAGGUGGGAGGCUAAGAAGGAAGGACGCCAGUCUUUCCGGAGCCGCUGUUGGGAUACCACCCCUGUGGCACUGGAUUUCUAACCUACAUCCGUAAUCCGGAUGGGGGACAAUGUCAGGUGGGGAGUUUGACUGGGGCGGUCGCCUCCGAAAGAGUAUCGGAGGCGCUCAAAGGUUCCCUCAGAAUGGUUGGAAACCAUUCGAAGAGCGCAAAGGCAGAAGGGAGCUUGACUGCGACACCGACGGGUGGAGCAGGUACGAAAGUAGGACUUAGUGAUCCGGUGGUAUAAAGUGGGAUUGCCAUCGCUCAACGGAUAAAAGCUACCCUGGGGAUAACAGGCUUAUCACUCCCAAGAGUUCACAUCGACGGAGUGGUUUGGCACCUCGAUGUCGGCUCAUCGCAUCCUGGGGCUGAAGUCGGUCCCAAGGGUUGGGCUGUUCGCCCAUUAAAGCGGUACGCGAGCUGGGUUCAGAACGUCGUGAGACAGUUCGGUCCCUAUCCGGCGCGGGCGUAAGAUAUCUGAGAGGAGCUGUCCUUAGUACGAGAGGACCGGGAUGGACUGACCACUGGUGCACCGGUUGGGGAGCAACCCCAUGGCCGGGUAGCCAAGUCGGGACGGGAUAAACGCUGAAGGCAUCUAAGCGUGAAGCCCCCCUCAAGAUGGGAUAUCUCAUGCGAAAGCGGUAAGACCCCUUGAAGACGACAAGGUAGAUAGGAGAGAGGUGUAAGCGUGGCGACACGUUCAGCUGACUCUUACUAAUCGGUCGAGGGUUUAACCAA
rnacentral:rRNA from 1 species